rnacentral:lncRNA from 10 species
UCCACCUGCUGCUAUAUGAGGACACAGCAGCAAGGUGCCAUCUUGGAAGCAGAGAACAGCCCUCGCCAGACACCAAAAUUGGUGGCUUCAGAACCGAAUGGUCACACUGUUUUCCAAAGUGACUGCACCAUUUCAUAUUUCUACCAGCAACAUCAUCAUCUUCCUUUUACAGAUGAAGAAACUCAUAUCAUGGAAAAGCAUGGAUGAAAUCCUCUGACCACCCUACAUUUAAAGGACCUUUAAAGAGAAAGAACUGACAGUGUAAGUGGAAAAAGAGCAACUGGAAGUAGCAGGAGAAGGAAAAACCAUUAUCAUACAACUGGUGGGAAGAAGGAAUGUCAAAAACAUCAGUGUGAAAAUAAUUGCAGUAAAACGGUAAAUCCCAGUAAUUACUGAAAAGAGAUUUUUAGGAUGUGGGCAAUGGAAGGUACAUGGUGAUUCUCAGAAGUCUCAUGGGCAAGCAGUGAGUGAGAUUGCCAUGGGUGACAGUAUAUGUUACAUAAGGAGGUGAAGGCAGCAUGAUUUGGAAAUUCAGGUGAUGGAAGGAAAUGAGUAGAAAUCCAUCUUUGGAUGGAGAAGGCAUGAGCAGGUCUAUGGAGGCAAGAAGCUGGAGUGAUUAAGAUACUGUACAAUGAGGUAGAGUGAUGUAUUGGAAAAGCUGAGGAGGGGAUAGCUUCCCAAGAGUUAAUGAAUGGGGGUGUUUCAUACAAAGAGAGACUUAUUUCUCUGUGGCCACAGAUGGAAGGAGAGAUAAGAGUGACUGGGGGCCGGGCGCGGUGGCUCACGCCUGUAAUCCCAGCACUUUGGGAGGCUGAGGCGGGUGGAUCACGAGGUCAGGUGAUCGAGACCAUCCUAGCUAACACGGUGAAACCCCGUCUCUACUAAAAAUGCAAAAAAUUAGCCAGGCGUGGUGGCGGG